GCCGAGGUGGCGGAACUGGCAGACGCACUGGCUUUAGGAGCCAGCGAUCGUGAGAUCAUGGGAGUUCAAAUCUCCCCCUCGGCA
rnacentral:tRNA from 1 species